rnacentral:tRNA from 1 species
GAAAAAGUAUGCAAGAACUGCUAACUCUAUGCCUCCGUGUCUAACAACAUGGCUUUUUCA